rnacentral:piRNA from 1 species
UGAGUCUUUCGUUUAUGGUCCCUGA